UGUAACUGACGCUGAGCUCGAAAGCGUGGGGAGCAAACAGGAUUAGAUACCUGGUAGUCCACGCGUAAACGAUGAGUGCUAAGUGUUGGAGGGUUUCCCCCUUCAGUGCUGCAGCUAACGCAUUAAGCACUCCGCUGGGGAGUACGACCGCAAGGUUGAAACUCAAAGGAAUUGACGGGGGCCCGCACAAGCGGUGGAGCAUGUGGUUUAAUUCGAAGCAACGCGAAGAACCUUACCAGGUCUUGACAUCCUUUGACCACUCUAGAGAUAGAGCUUUCCCUUCGGGGACAAAGUGACAGGUGGUGCAUGGUUGUCGUCAGCUCGUGUCGUGAGAUGUUGGGUUAAGUCCCGCAACGAGCGCAACCCUUAUUGUUAGUUGCCAUCAUUCAGUUGGGCACUCUAGCGAGACUGCCGGUGACAAACCGGAGGAAGGUGGGGAUGACGUCAAAUCAUCAUGCCCCUUAUGACCUGGGCUACACACGUGCUACAAUGGGAAGUACAACGAGUCGCUAGGCCGCGAGGUCAUGCAAAUCUCUUAAAGCUUCUCUCAGUUCGGAUUGCAGGCUGCAACUCGCCUGCAUGAAGCCGGAAUCGCUAGUAAUCGCGGAUCAGCACGCCGCGGUGAAUACGUUCCCGGGCCUUGUACACACCGCCCGUCACACCACGAAAGUUUGUAACACCCGAAGUCGGUGAGGUAACCUUUUGGAGCCAGCCGCCUAAGGUGGGAUAGAUGAUUGGGGUGAAGUCGUAACAAGGUAACCAAGGGCGAAUUCCAG
rnacentral:rRNA from 1 species